ACGUCCAUGGUCAAAGAUUUGUUUUCGAGGCUCACAAAAGGAUCCUCGGAUCUUCAUAUGCCUUGGGGAAAGUCUCCUGCCACAUAAGCGGAAACGCAGUGGAUUUACCAAUCCACUUGAGAGGAUUGUGGAAUAAAAUCAGAAGUUGUCAAUUCCAGCGAUGUUAAAGUUGUGAUUAUAUCUACAGUGGAGUUGCUAAUUCGUCUAUGGAUCUUGUCUCUUUCGAGCUCUGGCAAUGAAAGUGUUCUGAUUGGUCAGAAUGAGUUGUUGAAGUUGUUCCUUUUAUUUUUUUCACAAUCACCUCUCAUUGUCCCAGUUGGUCUUUAUCCCAUCUGGUGAUUUCCUUUCAGAGGAACUGUUCGGCAAUGGGAAUUUGUUUCCUAAACGAUAGUUAUAACAAGUGAUCAACAACUGUUGAUUAACCCAAUGGAGCUUACUCUUGACCCAUGGACG
rnacentral:RNase_MRP_RNA from 2 species